UGAAACACGGACCAAGGAGUCUAACAUGUGCGCAAGUCAUGGGGUUGUAAACCCAAAGGCGUAAUGAAAGUAAAGGUCAAUUCGGUUGACCGAGGUGAGAUCCCCGCAAGGGGCGCAUCACUGUCCCAUCGCAUCUGCUUGUCAGAGCGGUGGAGAAAAAGCGUACACGCUGGGACCCGAAAGAUGGUGAACUAUGCCUGAGCAGGAUGAAGUCAUCGGAAACGGUGAUGGAGGUCCGUAGCGGUUCUGACGUGCAAAUCGAUCGUCAGACUUGGGUAUAGGGGCGAAAGACUAAUCGAACCAUCUAGUAGCUGGUUCCCUCCGAAGUUUCCCUCAGGAUAGCUGGCACUUAAACGCAGUUUUACCCGGUAAAGCGAAUGAUUAGAGGCCUUGGGGACGAAACGACCUCAACCUAUUCUCAAACUUUAAAUGGGUAAGAAGUCUCGCUUGCCUGACCGAAGCUCAGACAUUGAAUGCGAGUGCCAAGUGGGCCAUUUUUGGUAAGCAG
rnacentral:rRNA from 1 species